AACCCGACUCCGUGAAGCUGGAUUCGCUAGUAAUCGCGCAUCAGCCAUGGCGCGGUGAAUACGUUCCCGGGCCUUGUACACACCGCCCGUCAAGCCAUGGGAGCCGGGGGUGCUUGAAGUGCGUCGCCGCAAGGCGCGCCCUAGAGCAAAACUGGUGACUGGGGCUAAGUCGUAACAAGGUAUC
rnacentral:rRNA from 1 species